rnacentral:rRNA from 1 species
GACGAACGCUGGCGGCGCGCCUAACACAUGCAAGUCGAACGAGCGAGAGAGAGCUUGCUUUCUCGAGCGAGUGGCGAACGGGUGAGUAACGCGUGGGCAACCUGCCUCUCACAGAGGGAUAGCCAUUGGAAACGAUGAUUAAAACCUCAUAACACUGCAUUUUCACAUGGAGAAGCAGUCAAAGAUUUAUCGGUGAGAGAUGGGCCCGCGUCUGAUUAGCUGGUUGGUGAGGUAACGGCUCACCAAGGCGACGAUCGGUAGCCGGACUGAGAGGUUGAACGGCCACAUUGGGACUGAGACACGGCCCAG